CGGCCCGGUCCCGCCAGGAUCGCGCUGGCCCCGCUUCGCUGUCGGGAGCGACGGCAUCCGCACAGCCAGAGGGACGGAGCUGGCAGAGAGGUUGGAUUCGAUGAUCUCGGAAGUCUUUUCCAAGCCAAUUGAUGCCCUGUUUCUGUAACGCUGGCGGAGUGCGCCCGCUGCCUCCGUCAGGGGCCAGGAAGCCCCCCCAGAUGACAUUCCUGCCUGGAACAGAUACAACUGCAGUGUGAAUGGAGAGCUAUCCUCAUAUGGCUGCAAGCACGCAAUGCUGAUGGGCGAGUUAAGUGUCCUUAGCCACCCCUUCUCUCUCUGCAGUAAAUUCACCUCUUGGGCACAAGGGCCUGGAGUAUGAAGCUGCUGCUGUGCUAGUGCUACUCCCAGCUGUGCUGCUGUCACUGUGCUGCUACAGUUGUGAGUGCUAGAACACACGCCUUAAACAGCUAGAAUACUUUUGUUGCUGCAGAGAUUGUUGGAAAGGAACUCUUGCAAAUCUGGAUAUCAAACUUGCUGGGCACAUACGCUGUCAGAGUUGGCAACAAAGGAGCAGCACGAGAAACUGCCAUUUUCACUCAGAGGACCUUAGGUCAGUCAUGAGCCUCCCACUCCAUAAGCCAUGAGAACCUCCAGGGAGCUGACACCAGGGAAGCUCUGAGGACCAGAAGAGCCUGUGGGUAACCUGCUGGAAACCAGGGACUAUCCAUGGUGUGACCUUACCCCAACUCUACCCACGAUAGUGGUCUGGCAGUGCUGAUAACAUCUCAGCACCCAAAGAGCCCACUGCUCUGUUCAGACCUGGAUGGACGAAGUGCAAGGCAAGUUUGAGGGAUAAGUAUUGCAUUAUUAUAAUGAAUAAAUUGUAGGCUAGCAGUUCUAAUUUAUAAGAUUUAAAUCUAGGAUCUAAAUGAUGUAACAUCCAUGGAAUCCCUUUUGUCUUCUCCUUUUAGUGUACUUUCCUCCUCAAUCUCUUUUUAUAUAAUCUCUGGUUUAUUAUAUGUAAUACUGGUGUAUUCAGCAGCUAAGUUUGCUUGCUGAUCACCAGAAACUCAGCUGCCACUAGUAGUUGGGAUGGUGCCAGAAUCCCUGCAGGGAGAGCAACAGGGGAUUCUGCUGCUCUGAAAGGUCAGGGUACCUUAUGAAGAACAGCAUCCAUGGAGAGUUGCUAGUGGCUGAUUACCUUCUUUUUUUGUACCAUGGAACACAUUAGGCUGGAAUUGUCUAAGAUCUUAAAACAAGGCAGUGACAGAGCUGGAAAUAAUCUGAAAAAACCUGGAGGCAGGUGCUAUUUGUAACAUAUUUUCUGCAAAUACUUCUUUAUUUGGACAGUUUUUGAUUGAUUAUUG